GAUAAUUUGAAGAACAAAAGUAAUUUUUAAGAGAAACUAACGAGAAUAUGUCUUCGUCGAUAGUGCAAAGCAAUAGUAAUAGUAGUAAUCAUCAUGAAGAUGGAAAUGAACGGCUUGAUUCUGAUCACCAUAGCCAUGAUCCUACGGCUCAUAAUUAUAUCUCCCUCCCUUCUGAAACUUUUCUUCAAGCUGCCAUCUCUCUCAAAGAUCAGGUAGUAGAAAUGACGUGGAAAGGAAAGGGAAGGAGUGCCAGCGCCGUUACAGAUCCAACGAUGUAUAUUGGUCUGCUAGGAACGGCGUUUACUUGCUUGAGGUCUUACGAAGCCACCGGUGAUCGGAAAGACUUGGAAUUGUGCUCUGAUAUAGUUGACGCGUGUGCCGACCUUGCACGCACCCUCACCAGGCAUGUGACGUUUCUGUGUGGAAGAGGAGGGGUAUAUGCUCUUGGUGCUGUUGCUGCCAACUAUUGUGGGGACCAACCCAAACGUGACUUGUAUUUGAACCAUUUCCUUGAGGUAGCACAAGAGAGAGCCCUUCCAGUUGGACCUGAAGAUGGAGGUUUUGGAAUGUCAUAUGACCUCCUUUAUGGACGGGCUGGUUUCUUGUGGGCAGCAUUGUUUAUGAGGAAGUACUUGGGAGAGGAGGCAGUGCCAGACGAUUAUCUCAUGCCUGUAGUUGAAGCAAUAUUAGCAGGAGGGAGAGCAGGGGCAUCUGAUAACCCAGCCUGCCCGCUGAUGUAUAGAUGGCACGGGACAAGGUAUUGGGGCGCUGCUCACGGCCUUUCUGGUAUUCUGCACGUAUUACUUCAUUUUCCGCUCUCUCAAGAAGAUAUUGAAGAUGUUAAGGAAACCUUGAGGUACAUGAUGAGCAACAGGUUUCCCCACAGUGGUAAUUAUCCUGUCAGUGAAGGGAAUCCAAGAGACAAGCUGGUCCAAUGGUCCCAUGGUGCCACAGGUGUUACCAUUACUAUGUGCAAAGUAUCUGAGGUACUGUCAAAUGAUAGGGAAUUCCGUGAUGCUGCCAUAGAAGGCGGAGAGGUGGUGUGGAAAAGCGGGUUUGUCAAGAAAGUGGGACUUGCAGAUGGUGCCUCGGGAAAUGCUUACGCCUUCCUCUCCUUAUAUCGGCUAACUGGGGAAAGCAUAUAUGAAGAAAGAGCAAGAGCUUUUGCAAGUUGCUUAUAUCACAAUGCAAGAACGAUCAUGAACGAAAGACAUAAUAAUGAAGCAGAUCAUACGUACUCCCUUUUCCAAGGAUUAGGUGGCGUUGCUUGCUUCCUGUUCGACUUGCUUGCGCCGAAUAAUUCCAGGUUCCCAGGAUACGAACUUUGAGGGUGGAAGGUGUACUCUCUUGCUUAACUGGUGUGACAAAAUACUAGUACCACUAUGCGACACGAAUCUGAUUCAUCAUAAUCUGGGAGCUUAGGAUGGACAGGACUUUUCAAAGAUGAUUCUUUUCCAGGGUCUUGAACUGGAAAUGAAUUCGACAGAAUUUCAGUUGGCAUACUCAUGGUCCUUGAAUAAGAGUGCUGAUUUUCUUUUCUUGGCCUUAAAUCAAGUCAUUGCUGAUGAUGAGAAAGUGAAAGAGCAAUAUUCUUAACAAUUAAAAGGAUCCCCUGCAUCCUUUAUACAAGUGUGCUCAAUUGGUGAUGAAAAAUCAACAGAUAUAAUACUUGCUUUUGUCGCGAUGUUGGAAUUUUUUUCUCCGUCUUUCUUGUAACCAGUUUGUACAUAGUCAAUAGUUUUAUUUUCCUGGAGUUUUGUUACGUAGAAAAUAGGAUGGUUUAGAGAUCUUUACACAAAUAACAGGUAUACUGUUUACUUUUACUAGUCCAUAUACAUAAAUUAUAUACUAAUUAUACAUGGUUAUACACAUAUUAUAGAUGCAUUGUACAUAUACCAGCCGGCUAUUUUAAGUUUAUGCGCUUGAAUAAGAA